GAACCAAAUCUAACAGUACCCAAAAGAUAAGAGAGAGAGACAGAGAGACAGAGUGUGUUAUGGCGUUCUCUUUAGGAACUUACAGUUACAGGCCACCAAUACUCUGCAAGGCCACUAUCAACAGCAGCAACACUAACCACGCGCUCGAGGCCGCUUACAUCCAGCGCGCGGUGGAGCUGGCCGACAAGUCCGCUGGCUUCACCUCUCCGCACCCCAACUUCGGGUGCUUGAUCGCCACCCCGCAAGGGAAGGUCGCCGGCGAGGGAUACCUCUACGCGCAGGGCGCCAAGUCCGCCGAACUCCAAGCCCUGGAGUCCGCCGGCGAGUGGAGUAGACGCGCCACCGCCUAUAUCAACAUGGAGCCCGGGGACUGCCACGGCGACCACACCGCUGUCUCCGCACUGGUCGAGGCAGGGAUUUCGAGAGUUGUGGUGGGGAUGAGGCACCCUUUGCAACAUCUCCGAGGCAAUGCGGUACGUGCACUGAGAAGUCAAGGGGUUCAGGUUGAUGUUCUUGGGGAGGAUCUGAAGAGUAAAAUUACAGAGGAAGCUCGAAAGUCAUGCCACUUGGUCAAUGCUCCCAUUAUAUGUAGAGCUGCUUCGCGAGUUCCCUUCUCUGUUCUCAAGUAUGCAAUGACUCUUGAUGGAAAAAUUGCUGCUAGUAGUGGACAUGCAGCAUGGAUAAGCAGUAAAACGUCUAGGAGUCGAGUUUUUGAGUUGCGGGGUAGAAGUGAUGCCAUUAUUGUAGGAGGAAAUACAGUACGCAAGGACAAUCCAAGAUUAACUGCAAGACAUGGAGGUGGGCACAUGCCCGUGCGGAUUGUAAUGACACAGACUCUUGAUCUUCCUGAGGAAGCAAACCUUUGGGAUGUGUCCGAUGUAUCAACUAUAGUUGUAACACAAAGGGGAGCUAGGAGGAGUUUCCAGAAAUUGCUUGCUUCUAAAGGAGUAGAAGUGGUGGAGUUUGAAAUAUUGAACCCUAGAGAUGUUAUGGAAUAUUUUCAUAACCGUGGGCAUCUUUCAAUUCUGUGGGAAUGUGGGGGGACAUUGUCUGCAUCUGCUAUUUCGGCUGGAGUAAUACACAAGGUCUUUGCAUUUGUUGCUCCAAAAAUUAUUGGCGGAAAGAAUGCACCAUCACCUGUGGCUGAACUUGGGAUGGUUGAGAUGUCACAAGCCUUAGAUUUGAUUGAUGUUUGUUAUGAGCAGGUUGGACCUGACAUGCUUAUUAGUGGAUUCCUUCAGCCCUUACCAGAUGUCACACCGGUGAUCCCAUCAGUGGAUGAAACAUUUGCAAUUGAUCCUACUGUAACUCCACAUGAAUCAAGCAUCAUUUUCUUCUAUAAAACAUGGGAUCCAUAUGGUGCUUUUUCAAAUUUUUCUCCUCACCCAAUUGAGAUGCCUGAUGAGAAUGGUGAUUAUGUCACUUGGUUAAGUGUAGAGCAUUACUACCAGGCGCACAAGUUUGUUGGGGUGAAUGAUCCUCUGGGAUGGGAUUCUGUUGAAAAUAUAAAAUCUGCAAAAAGUCCGGAGGAAGCUGCACGAAUGGGAAGGUCAAUGCAGAGGCAGCGGCCUGAUCUGCAAGCAGGUCAGUACUGCCAGGAUCCUGCUGCACCAAUCUCUGCAACUCUUCCAUCUUUCCUCUAGCCAUGAUCACUUUUUCGGACAAAGGAGAAAACAUUUUUCAUUUGGCAUCUUCAGCUAAGCUUUCAGUAGCUCCAACUUCUGGGACACUUGAAACAUUGGAGAACGUUACAAAAGUACUGCAUGGACUUUUCCAUGGUAAGAAGUUGGCCAAAUAAAGUGCCAUUUCGGAUUCUGUUGCUGAUUAACUAAUGCUCCAUCAAGCUUCCUCCUCCAUAUAUGAUUCUCAGGUCUCUUAUUAAACCAGGUAAGAUCAGAUUGGGAGAGUGUGAAGAUUGAUGUUAUGUACAGGGCAUUGAAAUGCAAAUUCUCGAUUUACCCUCAUUUGAAUUCUAUGUUGCUCUCAACUGCUGGUUCUGUGCUAGUUGAAGCUUCACCACAUG